rnacentral:tRNA from 1 species
GCAGUGGCUCGGUGGUAGAGCUUCCACUUCGUAAGCGGGAAAACCUGGGUUCGAUUCCCGGUUGC